GGGGCUAUAGCUCAGUUGGUAGAGUCCUUGCCUUACAUUCACAAGGCCCUGGGUUCAAUAUCCAGUACCCCCC
rnacentral:tRNA from 1 species